ACGGAAGGCAGCAGUGGGGGAUAUUGCACAAUGGGGGAAACCCUGAUGCAGCAAUGCCGCGUGAGGGAAGACGGUCUUCGGAUUGUAAACCUAAGUAGUCAGGGAUGAUGAAAGUGACACUACCCGAAGAGUAAGCUCCGGCUAACUACGUGCCAGCAGCCGCGGUAAUACGUAGGGAGCGAGCGUUGUCCGGAUUUACUGGGUGUAAAGGGUGCGUAGGCGGGCUUGUAAGUCAGGCGUGAAAUACCGGGGCGUAACUCCGGGGCUGCUCUUGAAACUGUAAGUCUUGAGUGAAGUAGAGGCAGGCGGAAUUCCCAGUGUAGCGGUGAAAUGCGUAGAUAUUGGGAGGAACACCAGUGGCGAAGGCGGCCUGCUGGGCUUUAACUGACGCUGAGGCACGAAAGUAUGGGGAGCAAACAGGAUUAGAUACCCUGGUA
rnacentral:rRNA from 1 species